rnacentral:rRNA from 1 species
UUUUAAUUUUUAACUCUAAUUGUUGUGGAACUUUUUUCUUUUAUUUUUUUUUAUUUAAUGUUUUGUAAAAUAUUUAUUAUUUUUUUAUUUUUGUGAGAAGUUUUUUAAAUUUGUUUUAUUGAACUGGAUUAGUACCCAGGUAAUCAAAAUUUAUUAGUUCGGGAGUAAAGUUGUAUUUAAACCGAAAAAAUAUUGACUGACCUUAGAUUUUUUUUUGGAACAUGUUUUGGAGAGCCCUCCUUGGUAGUUUUUUUUUAGGUGCAUGUAUGAUUGUUUAGUUUUUAUAUUAAUUUUGAGGCUUGUUUUUGUUUUAAAACAGAUAUAUACUUGGCUAAUAAAAGAUUUUUUAUGUGUUACUAUUUUUUAUUUAUCCGGAUGUAAUUUUUAUUAAUUAUUGAAGUUGGAAAAAAAAGUAAUUUUAUUUUAAUGUUAAAGUGAAUUAAAUAAAUGAGG